GUAGUUCAUUCCAAAUAUAGUCAAGUUGACAACCAGGAAUAGCCACUACAGGAGUCUUCAUGAGAGAUUCCCUAGCUGGGUGUGGUGGUUGGGGGCAGAAUGGGAAUGUCCCCCAUAGGCUCAGAUGUCUAAGCACGUGGUCUCCAGCCUGGCUGUUCGGGAGGUUCAGGAGAUGGGGUUUUGUAUGUCCUGGAGUAGGCUUUGAGAGAAUAAUUUACUCAUGUCACUUCCAAGCCGUUCUCUCUGCUUACAGCUUGCUGCUCGAGAUGUGAGUCUUCAGAUGUUCCUGCCGCCAUAUCUGACAGCUGCUGCCAAGAUUCCCUGGUGGGAUGGACUCUUAUACCUCGACAACCAGAAGCCCAAGGUAAAGUGUGAUGAUUCAAUCCAUACAUGCAAUGUGCACACAUCAAGUCAGCAGGAUUGGCCUUUCCGUCUUCUUGGACAUCUGUCGUGUCUUUGUGUCUGGAGCCUGCAAAGGCCUCUCUUCUAGCUCUUUAUAGCAGCUGCUCCCUCAGUGCAGGCCUCAGAGUGAAGACAAAGCGGAGCAGCACCACAGCAGACUGCUGAUGGGUGAGAGAGAGGCGUGAAUGACAUGUCAGCUGCUGGUGUAAGCCACAGAGGUCCUCAGGGUCACUUGUUCCUGGAGCAGGGCCAUAAUUUCCCUGAUGGCUUUGCCACGGUAACAUACCAUUUCUUUCACCAAAGUCAGCGAAAGGUAGAUUUCUGGGACUCUCCCUGACUUUUAAUGAGAGCCGCUACGGAAGUGCACGCCUCAGUGAGGAUGCCGGCCAGUAGGUGGAUGUCACUUGCCAUCUGCAUGACCUGCUUCCACACGCCUCUGUGCUGCUCACCUGCUACACAAGCCUGCUUCACUGACCUCAUUGCCUGGCUUUUCUAAUCCAACAAGGAGGGUCAAACAGCAAGUGGCUAUUGUGUUUGUACUCAAAGGGCAGUCACUAAACUAUUGAACAAAUGGAUAAAAAGUUAUUACGUUAUUAUCAACAGAUAAAAGAUCUGCCCAUUCUCUCUUUUACUUAAGAGGAGGCGUUGUUAUUUCGUAUUUUUCUCUCUCUUUGUCCUUCCUCCUUCUUCAUUGUUUUCUUUAUAACUAAGAUAACCCCAAUAAUAAUUACAGCUAUUGGCCCAGGAUAUAGCUCAAUGGUAGAGAAUAUUUUUAGGUACAUUAUACCAUACAUUCAAUUUCCAGAUCCCAAGCUUCCUAAAAGGAAGGAAGAAAAACUGUAACAACUGUAGCUAUUAUUUAUCGACCUUUGUUCAAGGAGGAACCAAGAUCCUCGGAGCCUUGAAGGCAAAGUCUGGCCACCCCUGAAGAAGGGAUUCGAUCAUUUAUUCCCAGUGAAAAUCUCCUUUCAGGUGACUGUGAUCGUCAUGUGGACCAUCUUAAUUAUAGGUUAAUGGUAGUUGUGGGGAUCAUAACAAAAUCACUAUUCAUGUUUAUUAUUGAAUGUCCGUAAUGAGCUGUGUCUUGCACGCAAUGUUAUUUAUGGGCUAAGUGCAAUUGUUAUUAUUAUGAUGAUGAUGAUGAUGAUGAUGAUGACGAUGACAUUUUGUCCCUAGAAAAUGAAGAUUUAGAGAGAUUCAGGGGAGCCUGGUGGUUAGCCACCUUCCAUUCAUGCAGCAAACAGUAAAUACUAUCGAAUGCUUCCUGUAAUUCAGGCAGUCUCGCUGACAUAAGUGGCUGCUACAACUAUUCAGGUAAUGGCCCUGUUCUCACAGAGCUUAUGUUCUAGUGAGAGAAGAAAAACAAGGGACAGGAAACUAAUAGACAAGAUGAUUUCAGGAAGUGACUAAUGCUCUAAGAAAAAUAAAACAGGAUGACUGGUAAUUGUAGAAGUUACUUUUCUCUUGUUGUGAGGAAAAAAACAGUAUGAACAAAGCGACUUACAAAAGAAACAAUGUAAUUGAGUUUUAUGGUUUCAAGGGUGAGUCCAAGAUGGCUCGGCAAAGGCAUGCUGGUAGGUAUAGCUGGCUGAGGGAUCUCAUCUUGCUGUAAGCAGGAGGCAGAGAACACACUGGGAGUAGUAGUAGUCUUUUGAAACAUCAAAGCCUGACCCCGGUGACACACUUCCUUCAGCAAGGCUACAUCUCCUAAUCCUUCCCAAACAGCCACCAACUAAGAACCAAAUGUUCACUGCCACAAUAAUAAUAAACAGGGACAGGGACAAUCACAGACAAUGGAGGAGGGAUGAGGGAGACAUAAGUAAUGUGAAGUCAACUAGGAUGGUUUGAACAAAAAUGUCCCUAUAGACUCAGAUGUUUGAAUACUUGGUGCCCUAGGUUGGUAGCACUGCUUGGGUAGGUUUAGGAGGUGUGGCCUUUCUGGAAGAAGUGUGUCACUGAGGCAGGGGUGGGGUGGAAUGCUGAGAUUUCAAAGCCACAAGCCAUUUCAAGUUUGUGCCCUCUGCUUUCUGUGUGUGGUUGGAGAUAGGCCCUCUCAGCUGUUAUUGCAUCCAUAUUUGGCACCUGCUGCCACGACUCCGUGUCCUAGGAUUCUUAGCCCCUUGGAACUGUAAGCCCAAGGAAACUCUUUCUUAUAAAUUGCCUUGUCCGUGGAGUCUUAUCACAGCAAUAGAAAAGUAGCUCACACAGUGAAGUGCAACUACUUAGUGAACCAACAAAUGCCAAGGUCCGAAGGGGAAGGACCUUGAUAUUUUCACCACAGUAACUGAGCUAGAAUGUAAAACUGGGUUAUCUGGGGUUUACUUCCUUUGUCGUUAUUGAGAUAUAUGUUUUACAUACUGUAAAGGCUGCCUAUUUAAAUAUAAGCUCAGUGUUCUAAAAGUAUUGUCACAGAUGGGUAUGUGCAUCGCGACUACUCAAUCCAAGAAUAUUCCCGGUGCCCCUGAAGCAGUCUUGGUUUCAUCAGUGUCAUCUCUCGCGGCUGGUCCCCUACCCUUGGGGAACCACUAAUCCACUUUCUGCCUCUCUGCAUUUGAAUACGUUACGUGAAUGGAUCCUGAGGAUACUCUCACGUCCAGAAGGUCACAAGGGCACCUGGAGGGCAUCGUGAGUGAACCUGUAUGGCUUCUCCACUAUUGAAAGCACACAUUUCUAACAGGAUGGGCAAUUGGAAGUUUUCUUUUUCAUUUACCAAUUACUCUGCUUAAAGAAGUAUGUGAGGAGCGUUGAGAGUUCCCAAGGUGCGAGAGAGACGGCGGGCUCUGAAGAACGUUAUCCUCCUCUCUGAAAGAAAAGACAUUUGCACAUGAAGGCAGCUGUGAUUUGGGAGUCCAUGAUGUGAGGUGUGUGAAGGGUCCCAGCAGAACUUCCAAAUGGAAUAUAAAAGGAGAUGAGAUCCUGGGGCAGCGGCGAGUUGAAAGGAAAAGGGAAGCAGAAGAAGACAAGGUGUUCUGCCAGAGAUUCCCUGCGUAAUCCACAGAGAGACAGACGGUUACAGAUGUGUGUGACUACACCCAGCUUUUUUACUUGGCUGCUGGGGAUCCAACCUGAAGAUCUCUUGCUUUUGCAGCAGGCACUGUCCCACUGAGCCUCAAAGUUACUGAAUAGGAGGAUCCUGUUAUGUAGUCCAGGUUGACCUUGAAAUCACAGCAGUUCUCUUGCCUUUGCCACCUACACGCUGGAAUUACGGACAUAGAUCACUAUACCCAGAAUAAUUUCCUCAUUUGUACCACCACAGGACACAGUAGAAUUCAAAUCCAACCAUACUGCAGAGAGACCCCACAGCAACUAACAUUUAAAACACAAAUGAACCCAGAGGGCAGAAGGAGAAAUGCUAAUAAAUGAAUCUGUGAAAGACAUUUAAAACUUUUAUAUGAUGCGGAUGAAGAUGAUGGCAAUGAGCAGCCGCAGACAGACACUGCAAGACUGAACAAAUACUUCACAUACUCCAAAUAAGAAUGGUGUUGGGUAGGGUGGUGCACACCUUUGAUCCCAGCACUUGGAGGAGGUAGAGGCGGGUGGACCUCCAAGUUCCAGGUUAGCCAGCACUACACCUUGAGAACCAGUUUCACAAAACAACGACGACAGGCCAAACAAACCCAAAGUAGGAACGGUCAAAAUUACUUGGAGAAAACGUUCACCUUCAUAGUGCUUAGAAAGAUGAAACCAUGACAACAUGCCCAUGGUUCUGUGAGUGACAGAUGCUUGGAGUUCAAGAAAAUAUGUUUUUUAGCAAUGUUACAGUAAAUGCACACUGCUGCUGGCCACCGAAUUGGACAGCGUGGACAGGUUACAAUUCGGAAGCAUUCCAUGGUGUGUGUGUGUGGUGCUGGGUUUGAACCUAGAGCCUUGCACAUGCUGGGCAAGGAAGAGCUGUCACUGAGAGGCAGCUCUGCUGUUCUUAUCUUGAAUGUACAUAUAUGAUUAGCUGGUCAUUUGUUUGAAGUAAUUUAUCCUGUGGAUAAAGUCACAACAGAGAUUCCUAAAGACAUGAAUGUAAGGUUAUUCACGGAAGCAUUGUUUAUAAUAAUAAUAGGUGAAAAUGGAAAGAAUUUAAAUGUUUGUUAAUUAGGCAAUGGUUGGCUUUAUGGCUUGCCUCGUGGCUGGCUAAAAGAUCUCCAUGUGCUAAUAUGGAAUGUUGCAGAUAUACUAUUAAAUACAACAUAAAGGAUACUGUAUAUAAUUUACUCUGCAUAGAAGCAUUGUAUGCAGGCUAGAGAGAUGGCUCAGUGGUUAAGAGCACUGACCGCUCUUCCAGAGGUCCUGAGUUCA